UCCCUGGUGGCCUAGUGGUUUAAGGACUCGGCAUUGUCACUGCUAUGACACAGGUUCAAUCCCUGGCCUAGGAA
rnacentral:tRNA from 1 species